AAUGGGCGCAAGCCUGACCCAGCCAUGCCGCGUGCAGGAUGACGCCCUAUGGGUUGUAAACUGCUUUUAUAUAGGAAGAAAAUACUCUUGCGAGAGAAACUGACGGUACUAUAUGAAUAAGGACCGGCUAACUCCGUGCCAGCAGCCGCGGUAAUACGGAGGGUCCAAGCGUUUUCCGGAUUUAUUGGGUUUAAAGAGUGCGUAGGUGGUUUAUUAAGUCGGUGGUGAAAUCCUGCAGCUCAACUGUAGAACUGCCAUUGAUACUGGUAAACUUGAGUUUGGUUUAGGUAAGCGGAAUUUAUGAUGUAGCGGUGAAAUGCAUAGAUAUCAUAAGGAACACCAAUAGCGAAGGCAGCUUACUGGACCACAACUGACACUGAGGCACGAAAGCGUGGGUAGCGAACAGGAUU
rnacentral:rRNA from 1 species